CUGGAUGCACAAUGAAAAACACAAACUCGCACACUUGAUCAGAAAAAAGAUCCGAUUGAGGAAUUACUAUGUUAAAUCGUUUGUAAUUCGUUUGAAGAGUUUUGAAGUGCAAUUGAAAAGAUUUUUGCAGGUUUCAUCCCAUUAUAGAAGUUAAGGAGCAUCGAGAUGGAUCCCAAGUAGGAUGGGUGACCAUUUUAAAAAUAUGUAAUGAUACAAGAUAAAAAAUGUUUCAGU